UACGAAGGGGGCUAGCGUUGCUCGGAAUUACUGGGCGUAAAGGGCGCAUAGGCGGAUAUCUAAGUUGGGGGUGAAAUCCCGGGGCUCAACCUCGGAAUUGCCUUCAAAACUGGAUAUCUUGAGUUCGGGAGAGGUGAGUGGAACUCCGAGUGUAGAGGUGAAAUUCGUAGAUAUUCGGAAGAACACCAGUGGCGAAGGCGACUCACUGGCCCGAUACUGACGCUGAGGCGCGAAAGCGUGGGGAGCAAACAGG
rnacentral:rRNA from 1 species